rnacentral:lncRNA from 1 species
GGCCCGUGAAUAUAUUCCUUAUUAUCUGUAUCAGUUUUCAUUCCAAAGUUGGCAAAUACUCGCUAGCGCGAAGCCGUGGCUUUAGUUUGUCUUUUCAAGUUGCGCGUAAAUGCGUUCACCUGUUUUCAUACUAAAGUUGGUAACGGAACUUCUAGCAUACUCAUUAGUGCAGAGCCGUGGCUAUCUUCUCAUAUUAUCUGUAUCUGUUUUCAUUUUAAAGUUGGUGAAGAAGCUUUUAGCAUACUCAUUUGUGCGGAGUCAUGUGUAUCUUUUCAUAUUAUCUAUAUCUAUUUUUAUUUCAAAGCUAACGAAUAAGUUUUUAAUGUACUUAUUACUCAUUAGUGCGGAGCCAUGGGCAUUUUUCCAUAUUAUCUGUAUCUAGUGUAGAAGAGUCGUGACUCAAAUGUGGGC